UACGUAGGUGGCAAGCGUUGUCCGGAAUUAUUGGGCGUAAAGCGCACGUAGGCGGCUUUGUAAGUUAGAGGUGAAAGCCCGGGGCUCAACUCCGGAAUUGCCUUUAAGACUGCAUCGCUAGAACGUCGGAGAGGUAAGUGGAAUUCCGAGUGUAGAGGUGAAAUUCGUAGAUAUUCGGAAGAACACCAGUGGCGAAGGCGACUUACUGGACGACCGUUGACGCUGAGGUGCGAAAGCGUGGGGAGCAAACAGG
rnacentral:rRNA from 1 species